rnacentral:rRNA from 1 species
CCUACGGGUGGCAGCAGUGGGGGAUAUUGCACAAUGGGGGGAACCCUGAUGCAGCGACGCCGCGUGGGUGAAGGAGCGUUUCGGCGCGUAAAGUCCUAUCGGCAGGGAAGAAGAUGACGGUACCUGACUAAUAAGCCCCGGCUAACUACGUGCCAGCAGCCGCGGUAAUACGUAGGGGGCAAGCGUGAUCCGGAUGUACGGGGUGUAAAGGGGGCGCAGACGGGAAUGCAAGCCAGGAGUGAAAGCCCGGGGCCCAACCCCGGGACUGCUCUUGGAACUGGAUGACUGGAGUACAGGAGAGGCAAGCGGAAUUCCUAGUGUAGCGGUGAAAUGCGUAGAUAUUAGGAGGAACACCAGUGGCGAAGGCGGCCUACUGGACUGUGACUGACGUUGAGGCCCGAAGGCGUGGGGAGCAAACAGGAUUAGAUACCCUUGUAGUC